rnacentral:lncRNA from 1 species
UAUAUAUAUAUCUCUCAAUAAAUAACGCAUGCAAAUAUCAGCAAUAACAUAGUAUAAUCAUAAAUUGGAACAGUAAGAUGCUGGCCUUCCGAACCCCAGAUGUAACUUAUAUAUACAGAUUUACAAGACUUUAUCCUAUCAAUCAUACAAUAAUGAGAGAAUGAAAUAUACUUAUUUCAUUAAAUUACGAUAUAGAAAGUUGUCAACGUGGUGGGACAUCGUAUCUUUACAUCUUUAAUAAUUUGUAUAAAUUGCCAAAAACUGCUAUUAGAAAUUGUAAACAUUGAACUGGUUCCGCAUCUUGUCUCUAAAUAUGAAGCCACUUCCUGUUGAAGACCUGCUUAAGCGGGAAUAUUUAUAAAUACGGUAUUUGGUUCCUAGACGUCCUUAUGUGAGCUUUUAGUUAAAUAUUCCAAAAGAUGUAAAAAGAUAAAUAUAGGCUUGAAAUGCUAUCGCAUAGCUUAAGGUAAAAUAGCUGUAUAUCGAAAUGCAUCCUGUACCUAAAUAGCUUGCUUGACUUUAAGGGUUGUUUGGUUUAUUGUACUGCUCUGCUUGAUAGCCAGAUACGAUAUGCCAAAGUGCUAGUGCGACGCCGUAUUUAUACUUGACGGUGAAAUACAUCCGCGACUCACAG